CGGCGCAUCCUCCACCCAUGCCGACGUCUUCGCAUCCCCCAUCCACGCCGCCGAACCUGGAGGUCCGGACCAACAAAGGCAAAGUGAGCCGGGACGACGGCAAACCACCCCCUCCCAUCGAUGCGGAUCAGGUCAGGAAAGAGAUGCGGUGGCCAGACCUUCACAUCCUUUCUUUCCUCCCUCAUGGAGGAUGAACUAAAGCGGCGACAUCCCUGGUGGGAGCGAACAAGGGUGUGAACCCAACUCAAUACUGCAGCUGGCGAGUGACGCGAGAGACCUCACUCCCUUCGCCAGAUCAUCGCCGAAAUCGACGCACAGAUGACCGGCACCAGGGAGGAGUUCGACAGCGAGGAGAGGAUCUGCGUUGCCGUGGUCAACGAACGAGCCCAACGAGGUGGGAGACCAUGCUACUCAUCAUCGCUGAGAAAGGGUUCAUCAAUAUCGUCGUCGAGUUGCUCAAGCUCUGACAAGGAGAGCCUUGCGAGGAAGAACAAAUCAGGAUUCGAUGCUCUGCAUGUCACUUCAAAGGAAGGCCACGGAGUGUGCCAUUGCCUACACAAGCUAAUGAGCAAGAAAGAUGGACAUCUGACACUGCUUGUAGAUAUUGUGAAGGUACUCCUGGACCAUGAUCGAUCCCUUGGGAAAACGUUUGGCCAAUCAAAAUGUGACUCCUCUGAUAACUGUGGCGAUUAGAGGCCGCCAUGAUGUAGCGAACCUUCUGCUGGAGCGAGAUUCUGGAUUGCUUAAACUAUCAAAGGCAAACAGAACAACAAUUUUUAUUUUCCUGGUACAGGGAAUCUCCAGGCACGACAAAGUAUGUAUUUACAUCAGAAAAAUUCCUUAGCUUUUGCAGAAACAUGAUUUUGGUUUAUUUAUUAGCACUACCCCAAUUACAUUGGAUUUGUAUUCACACUUCUCAAAGUAAGGUAGCAUGGUCCAUCUUUGUAGGGUCGUAUUUGGUAACCGUAACUUACCACAAUACCAAUUCUAAGUUUAUUGU